rnacentral:rRNA from 1 species
UACAGAGGGGGCAAGCGUUGUCCGGAAUUACUGGGCGUACAGCGCGCGCAGGCGGACCGCCACGUGCCGGUGUGACAAGCCACUGCUCAACAGUGGAGGGCCAGGGUACACGAGCGGUCUGGAGGCAGGGAGAGGGAUGUGGAAUGCCCGGUGGAGCGGUGAAAUGCGUAGAGAUCGGGCGGAACACCAGCGGCGAAGGCGGCAUCCUGGUCCUGUUCUGACGCUGAGGCGCGAGAGCGUGGGGAGCGAACUGG